AAAGGGGGGAGACAACACACGAGGUUCCCACCACACCUCCCUAUGUGACUGUUAAAGGUACAGGAACAAGGAUGCUGUUUGGGGGUGCGCAGUGGCUUCCUUUAAGGUCAAGGGGGUAGACAACACACCUGACCCAAUAGCAAGAGGGACAUUCUUCCUGUUCUUUGUGAAAAACUAAUGUCAAAGAAUAAGAAAGCCAACUGACUUCUCCACACUGAUCGGCUGCGGGCAGGUGCAACGGCUUGUCACCUGCUAACAGCCAACCUUCUCGGGACCCACCCUGAAGGUGUGCCAGGCACGGUCUUCUCUGGACUUCCGGCGCCUCCCGACCUGUACCUACAGGACAAUGGGCUCUGUGGAAAGGGAGGCCAGAAGACCGUACCGGCUCAGCACCCCGGAUGCUGUGACCCACCAAGCGAAAGCUGGACCAACAUGGACAGAGGGAGCGAGAGAGGAAGAGAGGGAGUAAAGUAUCAAACUGAAUAAAAAGGGUAGAAAUAGCUGAAGGAGUUGGGGGAUAAUAAAAUGAACUAUAUCAAGGAAAAGAAGAAAAACAUGAAAGUAAAUGGGGAAAAAUAAAUAGAAAAAAACCUGACAAAGGAAAAUACAAAAAAAAAGAUUAUUUGAAACAUUAAUAAGUAAAUGCUAUGAGCAAGCGUUCACCAAAUAAGAGUGGAAAGCCGGCAAGAAUAAACAGUAGAAGAAAGUGAGAUACACAAUGGCUUUAAAGUCAACUUUUUAAAAGCUAAGAACCGACAACCGAGACUAAGAAACCGGUCGGGUUCUGAGGAGGCGAGUGGAACGCCCAGGUUUUCUGGUCGGGAUUCUUCCAGGUAUCUCACAGGAAUUCCUGGACGGCGUCCGGGUCCAGAAGGCUCUGUGGGUUCCAGGAUGCCAGCCUCCCUGCCCGGAUGUCCUGGGGCUGGAGUGUCAGCACUUUCUCCAAGGAUGACUCACCUACGUGUCCCCACUGGCACCCAUGCUUGGCGAGAGGCAGGCAGGA